UACGUAGGGGGCUAGCGUUGUCCGGAAUCAUUGGGCGUAAAGAGCUCGUAGGCGGUUCGAUAAGUCGGACGUGAAAUCUCCACGCUCAACGUGGAGGGGCCGUUCGAUACUGUCGUGACUCGAGUCCGGUAGGGGAGUGUGGAAUUCCCGGUGUAGCGGUGAAAUGCGCAGAGAUCGGGAGGAACACCCGUAGCGAAGGCGGCACUCUGGGCCGGUACUGACGCUGAGGAGCGAAAGCGUGGGGAGCAAACAGG
rnacentral:rRNA from 1 species